GGCUAAAAUCUCCGUGAAUUGCAACUUUGAACCUCCGCAAAUUGCCCAUUUUUGUUGUAGUGAGAGUGCAAAAAGUCUAAUCAGAUCCGAUUUUCAUUGUCGACCAAAUACAGACAAAUCUGGAAGAAAAGAAAGAGAGAGAUCAUCCGAGAAAAGGAUUUCCGGCCAGAUCCAAUGCUAGCCGGCGGAGAAAAGAGAGAGACAUCAUCGGAGAAUUAUUUCAGAUUCGUCAAUAAGUCCCUUCUUCUUCUUCUUCUUCUUCUUCUCCUUCUCCCACUCCUUCUCCUUCUUCUUCAGUGUGGUGAUUUUGAUAUUCAAAUGGAGAUUUAACGGUCGAUAGCAGGUGUUUUUUUGUGUGUAAAUGUGUAUAAUUCAUGUUUAUACACGCUUAUACAAUGAAGAUACACUGUUUAAACUUUAUACAGAUUUAUAAAUUUGUAUAAGUGUGUAUAACUUUGUAUAGUAUUGUAUAUACGCCACUAUAUAAGAGUGAAUCUAUACAACAUUUUAGUGUAUAAUUGUGUAUAAGGAUGUAUAUAAGUUGCUUAAGUUCAAAAUAAUUUAAUAGUAUCUGUUUUUAAAAAAAAUUAAAACCCCUGAGGGGUUAGUUUUUAUUAAUCAGAAAGCAUAAGGUUCAAACAGCAAAACAAAAAGUGCAAAAGCGCAAAAAGGAAAGUAAAUCUAACAUUUGCCCUAAAUCGCUAAAAAUCAACUACCAUGUCGGCAUAUUUCUCUCUGGUGAUCCCAAAGUGUAAGCUUGUUGAUGAGCUUUGUACUUCUCCAUCAGAGGUCAUGCUCCAUCUCCGUUUUUCUAGCUGCAGCGAAUCUCGUUUGCUUCUGCAUACUUGCUUCUCAAUCUUUUGACUUCUCGAUGUCUCAGGUGGAUAGGGAGACAGGCUUGAUCCAUAGAUUUCUUAUUCAGGGACUGCAUAGAGGAGCUCCAUUUCAUCCGGAGCCACAACUUUUGGGUAUUAUUCUUUUGUGUACAUACAUAUGGGCAUGGCAGGGCCCUGUCCCGCCUAUAUGAUGUGACAUACUCUUCUUAAAGGCUCAUAGACAGUUGUGUAUGGUUAGAUGUCUUGUAGCCUUGUCGGCUCAUAUUUUGUACAUCAUUUUGUUAGCCUUGUCGGCUUGUAUGUAUGAAUAUGAGCAUAGUUGUUGAUGAUGAUAUGAAUGUGUUGUUACCCAAUGAGAUUAGCAUUA